AUAUGAAAACAAAAGUUUCAGACUAUAAAGAAUGGUUUGAUCAAAUUAUAUCAAACAGUAACAUUCUUUGAUAUUGAUCCGAUAUUGUUGAACAAUAUAAGGAUGAAAUUCGGGAGAAACUGUGGGCAUAUAACGUAACCCUUUCUGAAAUGAGUUGCCUGUUUAAGUUUGCUGACACACUUACACUGGUACAUGUAACAAUAAUUUACCGUUUUUUAACAGUUCGUCAAACAGUUCCACGCAUUAGCGUCUGUGAUUGUUUAAGUCGAUGCAACAAUUUCAUUAUUUUGCUGGACACGCAUAUAAAAAUUGACACAAGGAUUUUCUGGGUUCCAUCAAUUGAUAUCAAUACUAAUUAUUUUUAAAUUCUUCCUUCGGCUCUUAGUACCUAUUCGACGCAGAAAAGUUAAAAGAUUAAAAUUUGCAUGUAUUUUGUGCGGUAUAAACGAGUUGAUUUUUUUUCUGUCACUGUGUGAACGUACAAUAUUACUGCGAUAGUUUAUUUAAGGGUGCAAGUAGUCAAGAUUGUUUUGUUGCUCGUAAGUGGAGUAAUCCGGCCAAAACUUUUGCUUCCGUUCCGUCGCAUCGGCCAAAAACAUUCGGGAUAGAGUCUGGUCCAUUGGUCCGCGCCGAAGUCGCCCUGCUGAAAGUCUACGGCUCUACCGAAAUCCCCAGUCAAACAGUAGGAUUUUUCCAGCUUUCGAGCUUUCCAGCAACGAGCAUACGAGCAGAUUGGUUACCAUUCGGAACGCAACCUGACCAUGGGACCGCCGAAUGCAGGAUGUAAUUGCAGAUGAAUUUUGUUCAUCAGAAAGGAAACCAGUGGAAGUUCUUCCGUAUGAAAGACUGCCAGCUGUUACUAAUUAUGAAUGCAAUUUGAGCAUCUGUUCCAACACCUUCUGAAAAAAGUACCUAUAAUGGCUAAGGAUGUUACGGUUAUGGACUUGCGGUGCCAUCGGGAAGCGCAGUAUGAUGUGAAGACUGACGGAAUAAAUGCAGUCAUUUUCUUCGAUCAGAUAAUGAAAAUAUGCAUACAUACACAACUUAAGUAUAAACUUGACCAAGUUCGAUUGAUUUACUACUCAAAGUAAGUAUUGUUAUGUGAAAAAAAAUAAAUAAAUGCAAUUAAAACAUAGACUCAAA